rnacentral:lncRNA from 1 species
UACUGAUAGAUCUAUAUUUUACAGAGAAGGAACUGACUUAAGAUGAAACAUAUCGAAGGCAGAAUCUAUGACUCUGAUUUCAUGAAGCUUCAGAAUCUGCGAGGCACUUCUGGUCAGGAUGGUUCUCCCUUUUCUAAACCACCCUGUUCAAUUCAAACCCCUAGUGAUGACACAUAAAAUUAAAAGUUGAAUAACUACGAAUUCCUGUUGUGGUACAGCAGAAACAAGUCCGACCAGGAACCAUGAGGUUCCAGGUUUGAUCCCUGGCUUUGCUCAGUGGGUUAAGGAUCUGGUGUUGCUGUGAGCUGUGGUGUAGGCUGGCAGCUGCAACUAUAAUUAGACCCCUAGCCUGGGAACCUCCAUAGGCUGCAGGUGUGGCCUUCAAAUGACAAAAAAAAUAAGGAAGGCAGAAACUCAAGCUCUUGGAUUGAGAUUCUGGGAUAAAGGCCUUAAAAAUAGGAUUACAAACCAGGCUCAUUGCUAGAAGCCUGGGCCAAGAUGGGGCUCCCCACUAAUGAAAGAAGUAAAAAUAAAUAGCUAUAGAACCCUGAGCAGCCUUGGGAUAGUAGGGGCCCAGGGUAGUGGGCACCUGAGCCACAGGCCUCUAAGACCCCAGUCAGCCUGGCUCUGCACCUGAAUGUUGUGAAAUUCCCAGCGGUGGCAAAGGGUACAAGCCCCUGAUGUCACUAUAAGCACCUGGGCUGGCCUGGAGCUCUAGGGCAGCAACAUGAAACUGCUGGGUCUGGAGGAGUGAGAUCAGUAGAGGAGAGGAGGACAAAGGACACCACAGCUUCUGUGAGGCAAGGCCCAGCGGUGCAGGUUCUGUGCCUACGCUUCUGAGGCCCAGAGGGACCAGCCAGGCUCCAGCUGGGGCUCCCCUUAUUUGCACUCAGAUUGCCUUUUGAAGAGCUACUAUUAUCUGCCCUCCAUCCCCUCUUCCCCCUCAUCUUCCAAAGCCCCAGGGCUCUGUCUGCAAGAUCUCUCCAGCUGGGUCUGGCCCACCACAAAGGCCUCAGUCCCAGUUGCACUCCUGCCCUCCGAUUAUCCAAGAUCAGGGAGCCUGUGACCAUCUGGACACAGUUGAUAAUGGAGAGGGGGAGGGGAAUGGGGGUAGAAGCCCAGCCUCAAAGCCUGCCUGCUCCCAACCCAUGGAUAACACCUAGGACAAAGCAAGGAAGGCAUGUUGCUUGUUUACCCAAGUGAAAGCCAGAGUGGAAAAGGUAGGGACAAAUCGAGGGCAAGCUCUCCCAAGAGACAUGGGUGCCUUACCCAGGCUGAGCACACUGGUGUAGCCAGGCAGACUGCCAGUUUCCCCCACAAUGUCCAUCAGUGCUCUCUUGUGAAAAUGCCAAUGUCCUGGCCUGCCCUGUCUGCCCAGGCAGACCUGACACCCCCACCCCAGAGUUGACCCCUGCCCUGCUGUGCCCCUUCUAUCACCUGACAUUUGGCCAAGGCUUAUGUGUGACAUCUCUGGUCUCUCCUG